UACGUAGGGGGCAAGCGUUGUCCGGAUUUAUUGGCGUAAAGAGCGUGUAGGCGGUUAGGUAGGUCCGUUGUGAAAACUCGAGGCUCAACCUCGAGACGCCGAUGGAAACCAUCUGACUAGAGUCCGGAAGAGGAGAGUGGAAUUCCUGGUGUAGCGGUGAAAUGCGCAGAUAUCAGGAAGAACACCCGUGGCUAAGGCGGCUCUCUAGUACGUGACUGACGCUGAGACGCGAAAGCGUGGGGAGCGAACAGG
rnacentral:rRNA from 1 species